CCUACGGGUGGCAGCAGUGAGGAAUAUUGGUCAAUGGCCGGAAGGCUGAACCAGCCAUGCCGCGUGAAGGUCAGUGCCCUUUGGGCGUUUAACUUCUUUUGUGCGGGAGCAAUAAUGGUCACGUGUGGCCGGACGAGAGUACCGUACGAAAAAGCAUCGGCUAACUCCGUGCCAGCAGCCGCGGUAAUUCGGGGGAUGCAAGCGUUAUCCGGAUUUAUUGGGUUUAAAGGGUGCGUAGGCUGGGAGGUAAGUCAGCGGUGAAAUGCCCCCGCGCAACGGGGUGAAGUGCCAUUGAUACUGCCGUUCUUGAGUGCGUAUGCCGUAGGAGGAAUGUGUGGUGUAGCGGUGAAAUGCAUAGAUAUCACGCAGAACUCCGAUUGCGAAGGCAUCUCACGAAUCCGCGAUUGACGCUGAUGCACGAAAGCGUGGGUAUCAAACAGGAUUAGAUACCCUUGUAGUC
rnacentral:rRNA from 1 species